rnacentral:rRNA from 1 species
UACGGAGGGGACUAGCGUUGUUCGGAAUUACUGGGCGUAAAGCGCGCGUAGGCGGAUUUGCAAGUCGGGGGUGAAAGCCCGAGGCUCAACCUCGGAACUGCCCUCGAUACUGCAAAUCUCGAGUCCGAGAGAGGUGAGUGGAAUUCCUAGUGUAGAGGUGAAAUGCGCAGAUAUCAGGAGGAACAACCAAUGGCGAAGGCAGCUCGCUGGGACGGUACUGACGCUGAGACGCGAAAGCGUGGGGAGCAAACAGG